rnacentral:rRNA from 1 species
GACGAACGCUGGCGGCGUGCUUAACACAUGCAAGUUGAACGGGAUUCACCCUAUGAAGUGUAACAGCGAAUUAGGGUGAUGAGAGUAGCGGACGGGCGAGUAACGCGUGAGUAACCUGCCCUUUGCAGGGGGAUAACAUCGGGAAACCGGUGCUAAUACCGCAUAAGACCACAGUGCCACAUGGCACGGCGGUCAAAGCUCCGGCGGCAAAGGAUGGACUCGCGUCCAAUUAGCUGGUUGGUAGGGUAACGGCCUACCAAGGCGACGAUUGGUAUCCGAACUGAGAGGUUGAUCGGACGCAUUGGGACUGAGACACGGCCCAGACUCCUACGGGAGGCAGCAGUGGGGAAUAUUGCGCAAUGGGGAAACCCUGACGCAGCAACGCCGCGUGAAGGAUGAAGGCUUUCGGGUUGUAAACUUCUUUGAUCGGGGACGAAGAUGACGGUACCCGAGGAACAAGCCACGGCUAACUACGUG